AGUGAACGCUGGCGGUAGGCCUAACACAUGCAAGUCGAACGGCAGCACAGUAAGAGCUUGCUCUUACGGGUGGCGAGUGGCGGACGGGUGAGGAAUACAUCGGAAUCUACUUUUUCGUGGGGGAUAACGUAGGGAAACUUACGCUAAUACCGCAUACGACCUACGGGUGAAAGCAGGGGAUCUUCGGACCUUGCGCGAUUGAAUGAGCCGAUGUCGGAUUAGCUAGUUGGCGGGGUAAAGGCCCACCAAGGCGACGAUCCGUAGCUGGUCUGAGAGGAUGAUCAGCCACACUGGAACUUAGACACGGUCCAGACUCCUACGGGAGGCAGCAGUGGGGAAUAGUGGACAAUGGGCGCAAGCCUGGUCCAGCCAUACCGCGUGGGUGAAGAAGGCCUUCGGGUUGUAAAGCCCUUUUGUUGGGAAAGAAAAGCAGCAGGUUAAUACCCCGCUGUUCUGACGGUACCCAAAGAAUAAGCACCGGCUAACUUCGUG
rnacentral:rRNA from 1 species